ACGAACGCUGGCGGCGUGCUUAACACAUGCAAGUCGAACGGAAAGGCCCUGCUUUUGUGGGGUGCUCGAGUGGCGAACGGGUGAGUAACACGUGAGUAACCUGCCCUUGACUUUGGGAUAACUUCAGGAAACUGGGGCUAAUACCGGAUAGGAGCUCCUGCUGCAUGGUGGGGGUUGGAAAGUUUCGGCGGUUGGGGAUGGACUCGCGGCUUAUCAGCUUGUUGGUGGGGUAGUGGCUUACCAAGGCUUUGACGGGUAGCCGGCCUGAGAGGGUGACCGGCCACAUUGGGACUGAGAUACGGUCCAGACUCCUACGGGAGGCAGCAGUGGGGAAUAUUGCACAAUGGGCGGAAGCCUGAUGCAGCAACGCCGCGUGCGGGAUGACGGCCUUCGGGUUGUAAACCGCUUUCGCCUGUGACGAAGCGUGAGUGACGGUAAUGGGUAAAGAAGCACCGGCUAACUACGUG
rnacentral:rRNA from 1 species